rnacentral:lncRNA from 1 species
ACAAGACUUCAGGUGACUGCAGACUCUGUGACAUCUUGAUUACGACCUUACAGGAGAUUCCAACCCAGAACUACCCAGUCAGAGAACUUCAGAUGAACCCAAAUUGCCGGACUUUUUACAAAAGAACUGACCAGUACUCUUCAAAGUGUCAAGGUCCUGAACAACAAAGAAGGACUGAGGAACCUACUGGAGGAGAUUAAGGAAUCCUGGAUUAAAGUCUAGAUGAGAACAACACAUUAGCGAGAAAAGCAGCAAACUUGAAUGAAGCCUGCCAUUUAAUAGAAUU